AGUAACACGUGGGUAACCUGCCCUUAAGUGGGGGGAUAACAUUUGGAAACAGAUGCUAAUAUCGCAUAAAUCCAAGAACCGCAUGGUUCUUGGCUGAAAGAUGGCGUAAGCUAUCGCUUUUGGAUGGACCCGCGGCGUAUUAGCUAGUUGGUGAGGUAACGGCUCACCAAGGCAAUGAUACGUAGCCGAACUGAGAGGUUGAUCGGCCACCAUUGGGACUGAGACACGGCCCAAACUCCUACGGGAGGCAGCAUG
rnacentral:rRNA from 1 species